rnacentral:sRNA from 1 species
UAUCACCAGGAUUUUACUUGAGCAGUUAAUAUUAGUUGCAAUCUUAGUGUUAAAGUACCUGUACCCCAGUCUCAUUUACUAUUGUUAUAAAACUUAGCAAGACUACUUUUGUCACCUUUUUAAAAAAUUGUACGUAUUUGUGAUUCUUGAUAUCGAAUCCUUGCAAUCCAAAUCCCUGACAGCAGCAAAAUACUAAACAAAACAAAUUUGCAAAAUUUCUUUUAUUUGUACGUGUACUUAUAUAAAAUAUAAAUGACUUUUUUUCAC